GUUUAUCUGAACACCCCAGCUAGAUGUGGGAACUUCAGCGGAGCUGUGCAAAGGUUGCAACAAAGGGAAGAUUAAUUGUCAGGGGAGCAACAGAGAGGGGAGCACAGUAA
rnacentral:lncRNA from 1 species